GUGGAUGAGGCAUGCAAGUCGAACGGAAUACUAGCAAUAGUAUUUAGUGGCGGAAGGGUUAGUAAUACAUGGGUAACCUGCCUUUAACUUAGGAAUAACGAUUGGAAACGAUCGCUAAUACCGAAUGUGGUGAAAUAAGGCAUCUUGUUUUAAUCAAAGUGGGGGAUCGUAAGACCUCGCGGUUAAAGAGGGGCCCAUGGGAUAUCAGCUAGUUGGAGUGGUAAUGGCACACCAAGGCUAAGACGUCUAGGCGGAUUGAGAGAUUG
rnacentral:rRNA from 1 species